rnacentral:tRNA from 1 species
GAUGUAGCUUAAUGAUAGAGCACUUGCCUGGCAUGCAUGAGACCCUGGGUUUGAACCCCAGCAUAACA